GUUCGUGUCCGCAUCGUCAUACGCGCCAGUAUUGCUGGAAGACUGCAGGAACUGAACCCCCUGGAAAGAUGAGUUCCUUAUUAAAGAAAGGCUUGAUGCUGUUUACUCCACACUCUUAGGCUGACUUUGUAUUAUUUGUCUGUGAAGACAGUUCACAGUUUCUGAAUCCCAUCAAGAAUGAAGACCUGGAGGCCACCAUAUUGAGAUGGUCCGAUGUCAUGAUAUGGCGCUUUUCCAAUGUAGGGUACAACUUGGCUCGGCACGAUGCAGCU